GCAAGUCGUGCGAGAAAGAUCUUCGGAUAUGAGUAGAGCGGCGGACGGGUGAGUAACGCGUAGGAAUCUACCUAGUAGAAGGGGAUAGCCCGGGGAAACCCGGAUUAAUACCGUAUACCUCCUUCGGGAGAAAGAAGGCCUCUCUUUGAAGCUUUCGCUAUUAGAUGAGCCUGCGUAAGAUUAGCUUGUUGGUGAGGUAAAGGCUCACCAAGGCUACGAUCUUUAGCUGGUCUGAGAGGACGAUCAGCCACAUUGGGACUGAGACACGGCCCAGACUCCUACGGGAGGCAGCAGUGGGGAAUAUUGGACAAUGGGCGCAAGCCUGAUCCAGCCAUACCGCGUGUGUGAAGAAGGCCUUCGGGUUGUAAAGCACUUUAAGCAGGGAGAAAAAGUUAUAAGUUAAUACCCUAUAACCGUGAUGCUACCUGCAGAAUAAGCACCGGCUAAUUCCGUGCCAGCAGCCGCGGUAAUACGGAAGGUGCAAGCGUUAAUCGGAAUUACUGGGCGUAAAGCGCGCGUAGGUGGUUUGUUAAGUUGGAUGUGAAAGCCCUGGGCUCAACCUAGGAACUGCAUCCAAAACUAACUCACUAGAGUACGAUAGAGGGAGGUAGAAUUCAUAGUGUAGCGGUGGAAUGCGUAGAUAUUAUGAAGAAUACCAGUGGCGAAGGCGGCCUCCUGGAUCUGUACUGACACUGAGGUGCGAAAGCGUGGGUAGCGAACAGGAUU
rnacentral:rRNA from 1 species